rnacentral:rRNA from 1 species
CGAACGCUGGCGGCGUGCUUAACACAUGCAAGUCGAACGGAAAGGCCCUGCUUUUGUGGGGUGCUCGAGUGGCGAACGGGUGAGUAACACGUGAGUAACCUGCCCUUGACUUUGGGAUAACUUCAGGAAACUGGGGCUAAUACCGGAUAGGGGCUCCUGCUGCAUGGUGGGGGUUGGAAAGUUUCGGCGGUUGGGGAUGGACUCGCGGCUUAUCAGCUUGUUGGUGGGGUAGUGGCUUACCAAGGCUUUGACGGGUAGCCGGCCUGAGAGGGUGACCGGCCACAUUGGGACUGAGAUACGGCCCAGACUCCUACGGGAGGCAGCAGUGGGGAAUAUUGCACAAUGGGCGGAAGCCUGAUGCAGCAACGCCGCGUGCGGGAUGACGGCCUUCGGGUUGUAAACCGCUUUCGCCUGUGACGAAGCGUGAGUGACGGUAAUGGGUAAAGAAGCACCGGCUAACUACGUG